AUUGAACGCUGGCGGCAGGCCUAACACAUGCAAGUCGAGCGGAUGAGAGGAGCUUGCUCUUCGAUUCAGCGGCGGACGGGUGAGUAAUGCCUAGGAAUCUACCUGGUAGUGGGGGACAACGUUUCGAAAGGAACGCUAAUACCGCAUACGUCCUGCGGGAGAAAGCAGGGGACCUUCGGGCCUUGCGCUAUCAGAUGAGCCUAGGUCGGAUUAGCUAGUUGGUGAGGUAAUGGCUCACCAAGGCGACGAUCCGUAACUGGUCUGAGAGGAUGAUCAGUCACACUGGAACUGAGACACGGUCCAGACUCCUACGGGAGGCAGCAGUGGGGAAUAUUGGACAAUGGGCGAAAGCCUGAUCCAGCCAUGCCGCGUGUGUGAAGAAGGUCUUCGGAUUGUAAAGCACUUUAAGUUGGGAGGAAGGGCAGUAAGCGACUACCUUGCUGUUUUGACGUUACCGACAGAAUAAGCACCGGCUAACUCUGUGCCAGCAGCCGCCGUAA
rnacentral:rRNA from 1 species